CUAAUUAGUUAGAUUGUUAGCCUAAAUUUUUUUCUAACGUUAGGCUAAAUUUAGUCUAAAAUUAGACAGAUCUGACACAGUUUUGUUAGAUAUGCUGCAAGUUCGAAACGAUCAGUUAGACUAAAUUUAGACUAACGUUAGCCUAACGUUAGACAAAAUUAUGUAUGGGCUGUUAGAUGGAUUUUAUGCUGCUUGUGCAUAUCCCAGCUGUCAUCCCAGCAUGAAGUGUGAUUGUAGUAGUGAACUUUUUCGAUGUUCACUACCACUACAAUCUCACUUCUGCUCAGCAUGGAAUGAUAGCUAUAUAAAAAUAACAGAAAACAGGAGCUGAAUCCCACAAUCGGUGUUUUUGGUGAAAAUUGCGACUAUUCAAUUCCAAAACGAAUGUCCCAACUACCGUUUGAUUUCCUACAAAACUAUAAUGAGCCGGAUUGAGAGAAGCACCUGAAAGAUAGCUUUAAUGGUCAUAUCCGUAUCUGCACCAGCAUAGCUAUCGAUUUCCGAUGGAAGCGGCUCGAACCCAACAGGACGAAACGAACGAAUUAUCCUACAUCGUAGAAAGUGUGCUGAAUUGACUAAAGCGAGCAUCUUCAACCGAAAAAAUGGACGAACCUAAGCUGGAUGCUGUGAAUGCUGCAUAUGUCUUUUGCAAAGCAAUGUAUUAAAGCAAGUGUUAAUGAUUGAAUUUGAUUAAAUAAAAGCGGCACAAAUAAAUGUUUAGAAUCCAUAAAUUUA